AACGAACGCUGGCGGCAGGCUUAACACAUGCAAGUCGAGCGCCCCGCAAGGGGAGCGGCAGACGGGUGAGUAACGCGUGGGAAUCUACCCAUCUCUGCGGAACAACUCCGGGAAACUGGAGCUAAUACCGCAUACGCCCUUCGGGGGAAAGAUUUAUCGGGGAUGGAUGAGCCCGCGUUGGAUUAGCUAGUUGGUGGGGUAAAGGCCUACCAAGGCGACGAUCCAUAGCUGGUCUGAGAGGAUGAUCAGCCACAUUGGGACUGAGACACGGCCCAAACUCCUACGGGAGGCAGCAGUGGGGAAUAUUGGACAAUGGGCGCAAGCCUGAUCCAGCCAUGCCGCGUGAGUGAUGAAGGCCUUAGGGUUGUAAAGCUCUUUCACCGAUGAAGAUAAUGACGGUAGUCGGAGAAGAAGCCCCGGCUAACUUCGUGCCAGCCGCCGCGGUAA
rnacentral:rRNA from 1 species